UGCGUUUGUUUCGUGCGCAUACAUAAAUGCAUGGCUCUUCUUCUUGGAGCCCCAGGUUGUGGCAAAACCCCCUAUUGCUAGCACUUGCAGGAAAGCUCAACCAAAACCAAGAGAUCAUGGAUGUUGUGGUGGCAGCGGCUACUCCUGGUGCGUGCUGAUCAGGACACAGCCCAACAUGGACGUGUAAAACACAUGCAAUCAGAUUAUCUCCAGGUAACUCAUUAGGAUGUUUGUGAUCUCUUUUCAACUACAACAAAUGCAAUGGUGUACUGUGUAAGAUGAUUCACGAUGAUGCACAGUGGUUGAUAUAUACUAGGAUAUUGUAAAAAAGACAAUUAUGUGAAAGGCCCGAGCUUGAGAUUGAUUGUAAUAGAUUGUACCUUCUUAUGGGAAAUACUUCUUAUAUUCAAAAAUUUAAUUUUCAGCA